CCGGUGCGCCCCCGGCGGCCCAUGAAAAUCCGGAGGACCGAGUACCGUUCACGCCCGGUCGUACUCAUAACCGCAUCAGGUCUCCAAGGUACACAGCCUCUGGCCAAUGGAACAAUGUAGGCAAGGGAAGUCGGCAAAACGGAUCCGUAACUUCGGGAAAAGGAUUGGCUCUGAGGACUGGGCUCGGGGGUCCCGGCCCCGAACCCGUCGGCUG
rnacentral:ncRNA from 1 species